AUGGGACCCUCAGGCCCUUUCCAGGUAGAUAGUAUUGUUCCUACCACUUUGAUUCUGGAGGAACUGAGGUGCAGGGAGGCUGAGCGAGUGGCGAGUCACCCAGGGUCAAACCCCCGGUCAAGUGCCUUGUCCUUACUCCCAGCCACAUCAGCCCCCAGAUGGAGGUCAGCUGUCCUAUAUCCUUGGAGAUGUUUGCAGCAGAGUUUUCCAAAUGUCUGUGGAAUUCAAAGGAAUGUACAGUAUAAACAAAAGCAUCACCUUCUGAGUAUUUGUUUAGGGUCACCUAGCUAUAAAGGGCUCCUUAACUGGUAGGAAAUACUUAUUCCUCUUCUCAGAUAGCAAGUAGGGCCUGCCUUAGAGCAGGCCAGGGUUAUACCCAAUCACUGUGAUUCUGAAAACAUAAAGUUUAAAAACAAAAGGAAAAGCCAUUACACCCCACAGAGGUGAAAUUCUAUUUUUUCUUGCUAGGUUGUUUUUUUUUCCCCACUAUAUUUUCAUCCCUGGUGGUAAUUUAGGAUGGUGUUACUUAUGGGUGGGACUUAGCCUGGGGACCAGAUAUUAAGCUGUAAAGUUCUUUCUUUCUUUCUUUCUUAAGACUUUUUGAUGUGGACUAUUUUAAAAGCCUAUUGAAUUUGUUACAGCAUUGCUUCUGAUUUUUGUUUUUAACACUUUGGUGUUUUGGCCACGAGGUGCGUAGGAUCGUAGCUCCCCAACCAGGGAAGGAACCUGCAUUCCCUGCAUUGGAAGGCGAAGUCUUAGCCAUUGGGCCCCUAGGCUGUCAAGUUCUUGAUCUGAGCCAGGAAAUCAGAGUUUUAUCCUCUAAAAAGCUCAGUCGCCUCCUGUCUCCAGCCUCUUGUCCCAUUUCCCCUUUCCCUCUUGCCUUUGCUGCCCCUCCACCCCCGCUUUAAAAAGCAGUCAGAAAGCUUUUCCUACCAAAAUCUGAAUCAUGACCUCUGUGGAACUGAUGCGGAUAGAUCCCAGGUUCAUCAUGAGGCUUUUCUUUUUUAUGCCAUCAGGCUGACAGGGGGAUUUAUUGAAACCUAAACUCAUUUUGUUUGCUCGAAUGUUCAUAAGACUCAACAGUUUAAGGAGGUGCGAAGUGCUCCCACUGCUUCAGGGAACAGUGAGGCAGGCUGGUUGCAAAGUCACAAGUCACCAGGUCCGGCUGCUGGGACAGAGCCAGGGGUGGAGAGGGCUGUUGGGUGGCAGUCAGCUGCUCCAGGGCCUUCCACCCUUCUCCCUUCAGACAGGCUCCCGCGGCAUGUUCUCGCCGGGGGUUGGUAGGAUGGCUUCGUUGUCAUGUUUA
rnacentral:lncRNA from 1 species